rnacentral:rRNA from 1 species
CAAGUCCAACGGUAACAGGAAACAGCUUGCUGUUUCGCUGACGAGUGGCGGACGGGUGAGUAAUGUCUGGGAAACUGCCUGAUGGAGGGGGAUAACUACUGGAAACGGUAGCUAAUACCGCAUAACGUCGCAAGACCAAAGAGGGGGACCUCCGGGCCUCUUGCCAUCGGAUGUGCCCAGAUGGGAUUAGCUAGUAGGUGGGGUAACGGCUCACCUAGGCGACGAUCCCUAGCUGGUCUGAGAGGAUGACCAGCCACACUGGAACUGAGACACGGUCCAGACUUCUACGGGAGGCAGCAGUGGGGAAUAUUGCACAAUGGGCGCAAGCCUGAUGCAGCCAUGCCGCGUGUAUGAAGAAGGCCUUCGGGUUGUAAAGUACUUUCAGCGGGGAGGAACGGACUA